rnacentral:rRNA from 1 species
CACCGCGGUUAAACGAGAGGCCCUAGUUGACAUUAUUACGGCGUAAGGGUGGUUAAGGAAGGAAACAGUAAUAAAGCCAAAUGGCCCUUUGGCCGUCAUACGCUUCUAGGUGUCCGAAGCCCAUCCCCACGAAAGUAGCUUUAACAAAACCCACCUGACCCCACGAAAGCUGAGAAACAAACUGGGAUUAGAUACCCCACUAUGCUCAGCCAUAAACCCAGACGUCGAACUACAAUUAGACGUCCGCCAGGGUACUACGAGCAUUAGCUUGAAACCCAAAGGACCUGACGGUGCCUUAGACCCCCCUAGAGGAGCCUGUUCUAGAACCGAUAACCCCCGUUAAACCUCACCACUUCUAGCCACCCCAGCCUAUAUACCGCCGUCGCCAGCUUACCCUGUGAAGGCAAUAAAAGUAAGCAGAAUGGGCACAGCCCAAAACGUCAGGUCGAGGUGUAGCGCACGAAGCGGGAAGAAAUGGGCUACAUUUUCUAUCACAGAACACUACGGACAUGCAACAUGAAAUAGUGCUUGAAGGAGGAUUUAGUAGUAAAGAGGAAACAGAGUGUCCUUUUGAACCCGGCUCUAAGGCGCGUACACACCGCCCGUCACUCUCCCCUGUCAACACGCAUUAGAGAUACAUAAUAUUAAAGCACUGACAAGGGGAGGCAAGUCGUAACAUGGUAAGUGUACCGGAAGGUGCACUUGGAUUAAACCCAGGGCGUGGCUGAG